rnacentral:rRNA from 1 species
UGAGGAAUAUUGGUCAAUGGGCGAGAGCCUGAACCAGCCAAGUAGCGUGCAGGAUGACGGCCCUAUGGGUUGUAAACUGCUUUUAUGUGGGGAUAAAGUGCGUGACGUGUCAUGCAUUGCAGGUACCACAUGAAUAAGGACCGGCUAAUUCCGUGCCAGCAGCCGCGGUAAUACGGAAGGUCCGGGCGUUAUCCGGAUUUAUUGGGUUUAAAGGGAGCGUAGGCUGUCUAUUGAGCGUGUUGUGAAAUUUACCGGCUCAACCGGUGGCUUGCAGCGCGAACUGGUCGACUUGAGUAUGCAGGAAGUAGGCGGAAUUCAUGGUGUAGCGGUGAAAUGCUUAGAUAUCAUGACGAACUCCGAUUGCGCAGGCAGCUUACUGUAGCAUAACUGACGCUGAUGCUCGAAAGUGCGGGUAUCAAACAGG